rnacentral:pre_miRNA from 1 species
AAAAAGGCAAACCCUUGAUUUCCGUGUCUAACUUUGACCGUCCGUCUUAUAUAAAUUUUUUUUAUAAUUCGUAUUUUCAUUGUUGUUAGAUGAUAAAACAUGAUUAAUAUUUUAUAUGUGACUUGUCUUUUUAUUUUUUUUCAUAUUUUUUCAAAUAAGACGGACGGUCAAACGUUGGACACGGAAACCAGGGUUUGUCUUUUU